rnacentral:rRNA from 1 species
UACGUAGGUGACAAGCGUUGUCCGGAUUUACUGGGCGUAAAGAGCGCGCAGGCGGUCGUUCAAGUCGAGUGUGAAAGCCCCCGGCUCAACUGGGGAGGGUCAUUCGAUACUGAUCGACUCGAAGGCAGGAGAGGGAAGUGGAAUUCCCGGUGUAGUGGUGAAAUGCGUAGAUAUCGGGAGGAAUACCAGCGGCGAAGGCGGCCUUCUGGACGGUGACUGACGCUGAGACGCGAAAGCGUGGGGAGCAAACAGG